rnacentral:rRNA from 1 species
CAUGUAGGCGGCUGCGCAAGUCGGGUGUGAAAGCCCUGGGCUCAACCCAGGAAGUGCACUCGAAACUGCGUAGCUGGAGUCUCGGAGAGGGAGGCGGAAUUCUGGGUGUAGAGGUGAAAUUCGUAGAUAUCCAGAGGAACACCGGUGGCGAAGGCGGCCUCCUGGACGAGAACUGACGCUGAGAUGCGAAAGCGUGGGGAGCAAACAGGAUUAGAUACCCUGGUAGUCCACGCCGUAAACGAUGAGUGCUAGAUGUCGCGGGCAUUGACCCCUGCGGUGUCGUAGCUAACGCAUUAAGCACUCCGCCUGGGGAGUACGGCCGCAAGGCUAAA